rnacentral:tRNA from 1 species
GCCCGCGUGGCGGAAUUGGCAGACGCAACGGACUUAAAAUCCGUUGGCCUUACGGCCGUGCCGGUUCGAGUCCGGCCGCGGGCACCA